AAGUCGAGCGAGAAGCCACUUCGGUGGUGGAGAGCGGCGAACGGGUGAGUAACACGUAGGUUACGUGCCCUUUGGUGGGGGAUAGCCCAGGGAAACCUGGAUUAAUACCGCAUACGUCCUUCGGGAUGAAAGCCUUCGGGCGCCAAAGGAUCGGCCUGCGGCCCAUUAUUUAAUCCUGGAUGGUAAGGUAACGGCUUACCAUGGGUACGAUGGGUAGCUGGUCUGAGAGGAUGAUCAGCCACACUGGGACUGAGACACGGCCCAGACUCCUACGGGAGGCAGCAGUGGGGAAUAUUGGACAAUGGGCGAAAGCCUGAUCCAGUCAUGCCGCGUGUGUGAUGAAGGCCUUCGGGUUGUAAAGCACUGUCGGGAGGGAAGAAAGCUUCGGCUUGACGGUACCUCGCAAGAAAGCACCGGCUAACUCCGUGCCAGCAGCCGCGGUAAUACGGAGGGUGCAAGCGUUGCUCGGAAUUACUGGGCGUAAAGCGUACGCAGGCGGCCAAUUAAGUUGGAUGUGAAAGCCCUGGGCUCAACCCAGGAAUUGCAUUCAAAACUGGUUGGCUUGAGUGUGAGAGAGGGAAGUGGAAUUCCAGGUGUAGAGGUGAAAUUCGUUGAUAUCUGGAGGAACACCGGCGGCGAAGGCGGCUUCCUGGCUCACAACUGACGCUCAUGUACGAAAGCGUGGGUAGCAAACAGGAUUAGAU
rnacentral:rRNA from 1 species